rnacentral:tRNA from 1 species
UCCCUGGUAGCUAAGCUGGUAAAGGACCUCCCUGCAACGCAGGAGAUCCUGGUUCAAUUCCUGGGUUGGGAA